AUUGAACGCUGGCGGCAGGCCUAACACAUGCAAGUCGAGCGAGCGGCGGACGGGUGAGUAAUGUAUGGGGACUGCCCGAUAGAGGGGGAUAACUACUGGAAACGGUGGCUAAUACCGCAUACUAUCGGAUAACCCAUAUGGGAUUAGCUAGUAGGUAAGGUACUGGCUUACCUGGGCGACGAUCCCUAGCUGGUCUGAGAGGAUGAUCAGCCACACGGGGACUGAGACACGGCCCGACCUCCUCCGGUGGAAGCAGUGGGGAAUAUUGCACAAGGGGCGCAAGCCUGAUGCAGCCAGGCCGCGUGUAUGAAGAAGGCCCUAGGGUUGAAAAGUACUUUCAGUCGGGGGGCGUUACCGACAGAAGAAGCACCGGCUAACUCCGUGCCAGCGGCCGCGGUAAUA
rnacentral:rRNA from 1 species